AACGAACGCUGGCGGCGUGCCUAACACAUGCAAGUCGAGGGAGAAAAGGGGCUUCGGCUCCUGAGUAAACCGGCGCACGGGUGAGUAACACGUAGGUAACGUACCCUUGAGUCUGGGAUAACCAGUCGAAAGACUGGCUAAUACCAGAUACGACUGCGGAAGCUCCGGCUUCUGCAGUGAAAGAUGGCCUCUGCUUGCAAGCUAUCACUCGUGGAUCGGCCUGCGCACCAUUAGCUAGUUGGUGAGGUAAAGGCUCACCAAGGCUGAGAUGGUUAGCUGGUCUGAGAGGAUGGCCAGCCACGACUGGGACUGAGACACGGCCCAGACUCCUACGGGAGGCAGCAGUGGGGAAUAUUGCGCAAUGGGCGAAAGCCUGACGCAGCGACGCCGCGUGGGU
rnacentral:rRNA from 1 species